CCCUUAGAUGUUCUGGGCCGCACGCGCGCUACACUGAUGCAUUCAACAAGCCUAGCCUUGACCGAGAGGUCCGGGUAAUCUUUGAAACUGCAUCGUGAUGGGGCUAGAUUAUUGCAAUUAUUAAUCUUCAACGAGGAAUGCCUAGUAAGCGUGAUUCAUCAAAUCGCGUUGAUUACGUCCCUGCCCUUUGUACACACCGCCCGUCGCUCCUACCGAUUGGGUGAUCCGGUUAAUUCCAUGGAGCGCUUUUCGCCAUCCAAUGGUGAGAUGCGUGAAGUGGUGUGAACCUUAUCAUUUAGAGGAAGGAGAAGUCGUAACA
rnacentral:rRNA from 1 species